CUACGGGCGGCAGCAGUCAAGAAUCUUCCUCAAUGGCCGAAAGGCUGAAGGAGCGACGCCGCGUGUAUGAAGACGCCCUUCGGGGUGUAAAAUACUUUUCUAUGGGAAGAAACAAUGACGGUACCAUAGGAAUAAGGGGCUGCUAACCUCGUGCCAGCAGCAGCGGUAGAUACGAGGGCCCCGAGCGUUAUCCGGAUUUAUUGGGCGUAAAGAGUCUGUAGGCGGUUUUUCGCAUCUCCUGUUAAAUCUCAAGGCUCAACCUUGAGGCCGCGGGAGAGAUGGAUAAACUAGAGACCGGAAGAGGCAAGCGGAAUUGCUGGUGUAGGGGUUAAAUCCGUUAAUAUCAGCAGGAACACCAAAUGCGUAGGCAGCUUGCUAGGACGGUUCUGACGCUGAGAGACGAAAGCGUGGGGAGCGAAUGGGAUUAGAUACCCCCGUAGUC
rnacentral:rRNA from 1 species